rnacentral:lncRNA from 1 species
CCAGAAUUUAGUAGAUCAUUCUUCUAAAAAUAUACAUUAAUAUCUAAACUCAGUAAAACUAAUGAAAUAGAAAUUUUUAAAUUUAGUUUUUUGAAUGAUUUUUUUUUGGAUUUAAGAGAUUCAAUUAUUUUAAAUUACUAAACACUUUAAUAAACAAUGCCUUUGAGAGCAAAUAAGUCUCAUAUAACUGAUAGAAGGGAGAGAUCGAAGUUGCUCAGGAUUCCUAAUAAACAGAGCCAUAAACAUCAGAAUUGGCAAUUCUUACCACUAAGCCCAAUAAAAAGAAAAUAUCAAAUGCAACAAAUGGGAUCCAAAGACCAACUUGAAUCUCAUCCUAAACUUUACAGGAUUGGUGGAGACAUUGAAAGGCAAGGAUGGAUGACACUUCUGAAAACUUGAAAAUAGUCUGGUUUUGAGAGAGCUUGUUUGUGUCCACAAUUCUGUUUAGAUGUGUUCUCUUGUUUUGUAGCAAGUAUCCAUCUACUGUAAAUUGUUAUAAAUUUGUAAAAUCAAGCAAAUAAGAAGAAAACAAAUAAGUAAUAAUUCUCUCUCAAAAGGUAUUGUUUAUAAAAGUAUAGAAAUUUCUUAAGG